rnacentral:misc_RNA from 1 species
CGGCACUGUUCCAAUUCUAAUCAAGGACUUUUCUUUUCUUUUUCUUAUUUUCUACUUUUUAUCUCUUAAUCAUAUUGAAGACUUCAACUCCAUAGACGGAGCUUUCAGCUUUCUGCUGUCAUAUAAAAUAAUACAUCACCAUCCCAUGUGUACCAAUUGCAGCCGAGUUCAAAACGAUAGGAGAAAUUAUUUUAUGUGAAGUUUCAUCCCUUUUGUCCUUCUUGCCAUUUUUCGCGAAUGUCAAAUUAGAUUUCCUUCUUCUGUUAUAUGUAAACUACUUUCAAAUUG